GUCACUUUCCAACACUCUCUUCAUCCUUCAAACUUCUCUCUAACUCCUUCCAAUUCCUACAAACUUCUUCCAACUUCUCUCAUUCAAAUCUCUUCCACCCAAAUUAAAACCCAAUCAUCCAAACUUCAUUAUAACCAUCCCUUAUCUCAAAUCAAAAGUCAUAAAAUCUUCCUCCUCCUUAGAAAUCCUAAAAUCCCCUUUCCAAACCCUAACUUUCAUCUUCUCCAACUUCAUCCAUGGCUUCAAGGAAACUUAAGGGAAAAAGCAAAAUUGGUGAAACAAGCUCCGAGAAAUAUGAAAACAUAUUUCAUGCACCAUAAACAAAAUCUCGAAGGCUCUCUAUCAACAUUUAGACUCGACCUCUUUUACCGGUAA